AGAGUUUGAUCCUGGCUCAGAACGAACGCUGGCGGCAGGCUUAACACAUGCAAGUCGAACGCACCUUCGGGUGAGUGGCAGACGGGUGAGUAACGCGUGGGAACGUGCCCUUCAGUUCGGAAUAACCCAGGGAAACUUGGGCUAAUACCGGAUACGUGCGAGAGCAGAAAGAUUUAUCGCUGAAGGAUCGGCCCGCGUCUGAUUAGCUAGUUGGUGGGGUAAUGGCCCACCAAGGCGACGAUCAGUAGCUGGUCUGAGAGGAUGAUCAGCCACAUUGGGACUGAGACACGGCCCAAACUCCUACGGGAGGCAGCAGUGGGGAAUAUUGGACAAUGGGCGCAAGCCUGAUCCAGCCAUGCCGCGUGAGUGAUGAAGGCCUUAGGGUUGUAAAGCUCUUUUACCCGGGAUGAUAAUGACAGUACCGGGAGAAUAAGCUCCGGCUAACUCCGUGCCAGCAGCCGCGGUAAUACGGAGGGAGCUAGCGUUGUUCGGAAUUACUGGGCGUAAAGGGCGCGUAGGCGGCCUGCUCAGUCGGACGUGAAAGCCCCAGGCUUAACCUGGGAACGGCGUCCGAUACUGGCAGGCUUGGAUUCGGGAGAGGGAUGUGGAAUUCCAGGUGUAGCGGUGAAAUGCGUAGAUAUCUGGAGGAACACCGGUGGCGAAGGCGGCAUCCUGGACCGAGAUCGACGCUGAGGCGCGAAAGCUAGGGGAGCAAACGGGAUUAGAUACCCCUGUAGUCC
rnacentral:rRNA from 1 species